rnacentral:rRNA from 1 species
GACGAACCGUGCGAACGUUGUUCGGAUUCACUGGGCUUAAAGGGCGCGUAGGCGGCUUGCCAAGUCAGGGGUGAAAUCUUUCGGCUCAACCGGAAAAGUGCUUCUGAUACUGGCAGGCUGGAGGGAGGUAGGGGCAGAUGGAACUUCCGGUGGAGCGGUGAAAUGCGUAGAUAUCGGAAGGAACGCCGGUGGCGAAAGCGAUCUGCUGGACCUCUUUCUGAC